GAUGAAGAACGUAGCGAAAUGCGAUAAGUAAUGCGAAUUGCAGAAUUCAGUGAAUCAUCGAAUCUUUGAACGCACAUUGCGCCCGCCAGUAUUCUGGCGGGCAUGCCUGUCUGAGCGUCGUUUCGACCCUCGCGCCCGGCUUCUGUCGGGGGCGGUGUUGGGGAUCGGCCACACCCUUCAGUGGGAGGCCGGCCCCUAAAUUCAGUGGCGACCACGCUGUAGCCUCCCCUGCGUAGUACUAAAACCACCUCGCAGGCGGAGAGCGGUGCGGCCCGCCGUAAAACCCCCCAACUUUUACAAGGUCGACCUCAGAUCAGGUAGGAAUACCCGCUGAACUUAAGCAUAUCAAUAAGCGGAGGA
rnacentral:misc_RNA from 1 species